rnacentral:rRNA from 1 species
AUGGCCAUGAAAAACGCGACGCAGCAGGUGGUCCGGGCCUUGGAGUCGUCCCUCACCAGGAGCCUUCAUGCGUCCCCGGGCAGCAAGAAGAUCGUGGGCGUGUUCUACAAGGGCGGCGAGUACGCGGGGCAGAACCCCAACUUCGUGGGGUGCGUGGAGAACGCGCUGGGCAUCCGCAGCUGGCUCGAGUCGCAGGGCCACCAGUACAUCGUCACCGACGACAAGGACGGCCCCAACUGCGAGCUGGAGAAGCACAUCGCGGACGCGCACGUGCUCAUCACCACGCCGUUCCACCCGGCGUACGUGAGCGCGGACCGGAUCAGGCGCGGCAAGAACCUGGAGCUGCUCCUCACGGCCGGGAUCGGCUCCGACCACAUCGAGCUGCCGGCGGCGGCGGCCGCGGGGCUCACCGUGGCCGAGGUCACGGGCAGCAACACGGUAUCGGUGGCGGAGGACCAGCUGAUGCGCAUCCUGGUCCUCAUGCGCAACUUCCUGCCGGGCCACCACCAGGCCAUCAGCGGGGAGUGGACCUCGCCGGCAUCGCGCACCGGGCCUACGACCUGGAGGGCAAGACGGUGGGCACCGUCGGCGCCGGCCGCAUCGGGAAGCUGCUGCUCCAGCGCCUCAAGCCCUUCGGCUGCAACCUGCUCUACCACGACAGGCUCCGCGUCGACGCCGCGCUCGAGGAGGAGCUCGGCGCCGCCUUCGAGGAGGACCUCGACGCCAUGCUGCCCAAGUGCGACGUCGUCGUGCUCAACAUGCCGCUCACCGAGAAGACAAAGGGGCAUGUUCAACAAGGAGAAGAUCGCCAAGAUGAAGAAAGGCGUCAUCAUCGUGAACAAUGCUCGUGGAGCGAUCAUGGAUACUCAGGCAGUGGCAGACGCUUGCAAGAGUGGGCACAUCGCUGGAUACGGCGGCGACGUGUGGUACCCGCAGCCGGCGCCCAAGGAGCACCCGUGGAGGUACAUGCCCAACAACGCCAUGACCCCGCACAUCUCCGGCACCACCAUCGACGGCCAGCUGAGGUACGCGGCCGGUUUGAAGGACAUGCUGGAGAGGUACUUCAAGGGGCAGGACUUCCCGGAGCCCAACUACAUUGUCAAGGAAGGCAAGCUCGCCAGCCAGUACCAGUGA